AGAGCGAACGCUGGCGGCAGGCCUAACACACGCAAGUCGAACGGACCCUUCGGGGUUAGUGGCGGACGGGUGAGUAACACGUGGGAACGUGCCUUUAGGUUCGGAAUAGCUCCUGGAAACGGGUGGUAAUGCCGAAUGUGCCCUUCGGGGGAAAGAUUUAUCGCCUUUAGAGCGGCCCGCGUCUGAUUAGCUUGUUGGUGAGGUAAUGGCUCACCAAGGCUACGAUCAGUAGCUGGUCUGAGGGGAUGACCAGCCACAUUGGGACUGAGACACGGCCCAAACUCCUACGGGAGGCAGCAGUGGGGAAUCUUGCGCAAUGGGCGAAAGCCUGACGCAGCCAUGCCGCGUGUAUGAUGAAGGUCUUAGGAUUGUAAAAUACUUUCACCGGUGAAGAUAAUGACUGUAGCGGAGAAGAGCCCGCUAACUCGUGCCAGCAGCCGC
rnacentral:rRNA from 1 species